rnacentral:rRNA from 1 species
CCUACGGGAGGCUGCAGUGAGGAAUAUUGGUCAAUGGGCGGGAGCCUGAACCAGCCAAGCCGCGUGAGGGAAGAAGGUACAGCGUAUCGUAAAUCUCUUUUGUCAGGGGACAAAGGCGGGGACUAGUCCCCGGAUGAGGGUACCUGAAGAAAAAGCAUCGGCUAACUCCGUGCCAGCAGCCGCGGUAAUACGGAGGAUGCGAUCGUUUUCCGGAUUUGUUGGGUUAAAAGGGUGCGCAGGCGGCCUGUUAAGUCAGCGGUAAAAGGCCGGGGCUAAACCCCGGAGAGCCGUUGAAACUGGCGGGCUGGAGUUGGAGAGAAGUACGCGGAAUGCGCGGUGUAGCGGUGAAAUGCGUAGAUAUCGCGCAGAACCCCGAUGGCGAAGGCAGCGUACCGGCUCCACACUGACGCUGAGGCACGAAAGCGUGGGUAUCGAACAGGAUUAGAGACCCCGGUAGUC